rnacentral:rRNA from 1 species
CUAUCAGCAGGGAAGAAAGGCUCGUAAGAGAGAUGACGGUACCUGACUAAGAAGCCCCGGCUAACUACGUGCCAGCAGCCGCGGUAAUACGUAGGGGGCAAGCGUUAUCCGGAUUUACUGGGUGUAAAGGGAGCGCAGACGGUGAUGCAAGUCUGAAGUGGGGCCCCACGUCGACCGUGGGCUUGCUUUGGAAACUGUAUGACUAGAGUACUGGAGAGGUAAGCGGAAUUCCUAGUGUAGCGGUGAAAUGCGUAGAUAUUGGAUAAGGAACAUCGGUGGCGAAGGCGGCUUACUGGACAGAGACUGACGUUGAGGCUCGAAGGCGGUGCAAGGAGCAGGAAGGAUUAGAUACCCUGGUAGUCCACGCGGUAAACGAUGAAUACUAGGUGUUGGGUGCCAUAGGCAUUCGUGACCGUCGCUAACGCAGUAAGUAUUCCACCUGGGGAGUACGUUCGCAAGAAUGAAACUCAAAGGAAUUGACGG